UACGUAGGGUGCAAGCGUUGUCCGGAAUUAUUGGGCGUAAAGAGCUCGUAGGCGGUUUGUUGCGUCGGCUGUGAAAUCCCGAGGCUCAACCUCGGGUCUGCAGUCGAUACGAGCAAACUAGAGUGUGGUAGGGGAGACUGGAAUUCCUGGUGUAGCGGUGAAAUGCGUAGAGAUCGAGAGGAACACCAGAGGCGAAGGCGGCGUACUGGAGAGCAACUGACACUCAACUGCGAAAGCGUGGGGAGCAAACAGG
rnacentral:rRNA from 1 species